GAUGUAAACAUUGGUUUACCUUUUUUUGUAACUUAAUUGUUAAUUUGCAUUUUAAUAGUUUUUUUUGUUAUUAUUUCAUCUAUUUUUAUUUUCUUUUUGGGUGACAAUGAUGGACAUUAGUUUUGGCAAGAUACAAAAGAGUGAAUUUUUCAUCACAGUUACCAUUAUCAGAAGAUUUAGGUUGCUUUGCCUUGUUAUUAUCAACUUUAUUCUUAUGUGCUUGGUGUUUAAGAGUUGCUUACUUUCAUCAAUAUUAUUAUCGUCUUCAUCAUCAUCUUCAUCACCUUAUUUCAUCUUCAAAAUAUCCUCUUACACCGGAUUUAACAGGAUUUAGAGAAAGUAUUAUCAGAUAAAUUUUAACUUAACUGGUUUCCUCUCCUUUCUUUCCAAAAAGUAUAAUAGGAAACAUAAAAUGGACCUUAAAUUGUCUACUUUUCUUGCAUCAUUUUCAACUGUUUAUCAACUUUUAAUCCAAUUAAUAAUCAAAUUGAGCUUAUUCUGUACUCUUUAACCGGUGGUUAUUGCAUUUGUUUUCAUCAGCCUCACUCGACUAUAUCAAUAUUUAUUGGUUUGUGUAAUUACAACUUUUGUUACAUCUCUAAUGAGCAUUAAUCUGGCAUGAUUUAUUAAUCAUUGGUGAACAUUGAAUAUCUCGAUACCAUAGACAGUCUUAUCAAGAAAUGAUCACAAUUGAUUGAAGGACUUGGAAAUGAAAUAAUGAAAGGUUAAGGAAAACUAAUCUAUUUUUUACCCUCAAAUGUAAAGUCGCAAUUGUAUUGUACUUUGAAAGCAAAAUGAAAUUAAUCAUUUUCAUUGAAAUGCAAUCUUAGAAUCUUUGAUUGUUACAAUUUACUGGAGCAAAAAGUUUAAUAAGAAAUGGAUUAACAAUGAAUGUUAUUAAACAAUUGUUUGGUAAUAAUUAGAAAUGUAAAUGAAAAAAAAGGUUUGCUAAUAAUAUUAACAAAUUAUCACUGCGACUUUAACCAGUGAAGAUAAUUGAUUCGCAAGUUGAAAUAAUUGACUAUUGAUUGUUCGAUCAAGUUAAUUUGCAAUGUUAUCGAUUUAAAAUGGGAAGGAAAAGUCAAAGAGUUAAACAUUGAAGGUAAGAACACAAAGUUGCCCAUUGAAAGCCAUUUACCAGUUUAUUUCAUUGGUAAUAUUUAUUUAUAAUAAAUACAUUUAUAUGAAUACAUUUAUUUUACUGAAUAAUGGUGUAAUGAUAACAAUAAUGAUAAUAAUGAAAAAAAAAGAAACUCAAAUAGUAUCA